rnacentral:lncRNA from 1 species
GAGUGUGCACACACUGCUAGUGAUAGCUGGGUCGUCAUGGAGGUGGUGGUGAUAGGGUGGUGGUGAUGGUAGUGGUGGUGGUGAUAGUAGAGGUGGCAGUGAUGGUAGAAAUGGUGGUGGAGGUGGUGGUGGAGAUAGACUGGUGGUGAUGGUGGUGGUGGUGGUGAUAGGGUGGUGAUGGUGGAGGUGGCAGUGAUGGUAGAAAUGGUGGUGGAGAUAGACUGGUGGUGAUGGUGGUGGUGGUGAUAGGGUAGUGAUGAUGGAGGUGGUGAUGGUGAUGGUGGUGGUGAUGGUAGAAAUGGUGGUGGAGGAGGUGGUGGAGAUAGACUGGUGGUGAUGGUGGUGGAGGUGGUGGUGGUGAAAGGGUGGUGAUGAUGGAGGUGGUAAUGGUGGUGGUGAUGGUGGUGGUGAUGGUGGGGGCAGGAGGGCUGGGAGUAAUCAAGCUGCUGGCACUGAUCAAUGUCUAGCCAACGCCAAGGACCAUUCUAAGUGCAUUAACUCGGUUCGUCCUGUCCACAGCCCUUCUGUCACCUACCCUAACAUGAGGACAGGGAGGCAGAGAUGAGGGAUGUGACUGACUUAAGGCUGGAGGCUAGUUAAAGGAAAGUCCAUUUCAGGUGGUCUGGUUCCCGACCGUGCCAUUUCACUGCCUUCAGUGAGAUCCAUACUACCAUUUUUUACAAUAAAAAUAAAGAAAUCUUAUUUUUCUCAUCUAUUAGACAAAAAAAAAAAAACUACAAUAAAAUCCAGUAGGAAAUAUUCAAAGAGGUAGUUUUUAUAAAUUUCCACCUAACCCAUGAGAGGAGGCCUGGGGUCUCCUGUCCCUUCCUGCCC